UACGUAGGGUGCGAGCGUUGUCCGGAAUUAUUGGGCGUAAAGAGCUCGUAGGCGGUCUGUCGCGUCGAUCGUGAAAACCUGCAGCUUAACUGUGGGCUUGCGGUCGAUACGGGCAUCACUGGAGUUCGGCAGGGGAGACUGGAAUUCCUGGUGUAGCGGUGAAAUGCGCAGAUAUCAGGAGGAACACCGAUGGCGAAGGCAGUGUUCUGGGCCAGUACUGACGCUGAGGAGCGAAAGCGUGGGUAGCAAACAGG
rnacentral:rRNA from 1 species